rnacentral:rRNA from 1 species
GAUGAACGCUGGCGGCGUGCUUAACACAUGCGAGUCGAACGGUGAACACGGAGCUUGCUCUGUGGGAUCAGUGGCGAACGGGUGAGUAACACGUGAGCAACCUGCCCCUGACUCUGGGAUAAGCGCUGGAAACGGCGUCUAAUACUGGAUAUGUGACGUGACCGCAUGGUCUGCGUUUGGAAAGAUUUUUCGGUUGGGGAUGGGCUCGCGGCCUAUCAGCUUGUUGGUGAGGUAAUGGCUCACCAAGGCGUCGACGGGUAGCCGGCCUGAGAGGGUGACCGGCCACACUGGGACUGAGACACGGCCCAGACUCCUACGGGAGGCAGCAGUGGGGAAUAUUGCACAAUGGGCGCAAGCCUGAUGCAGCAACGCCGCGUGAGGGAUGACGGCCUUCGGGUUGUAAACCUCUUUUAGCAGGGAAGAAGCGAAAGUGACGGUACCCGCAGAAAAAGCGCCGGCUAACUACGUG